rnacentral:tRNA from 1 species
AAGACUUUAAGUUAACUUAAACUUUAUACCUUCAAAGUAUACAAUAUUUUUUAAGUCUUA